rnacentral:pre_miRNA from 1 species
UUCUUGGUAUAAGUAGUAUAUCCCAUGCAAUAGUUGGGACAUACUUAUGCCAACC